UUUUACAUGGAAAUGUAAAUUAAAAAAACAGGAAAUACACAAAACUUGGAAACCAAAGCUGGUGCUAUGGUGUUAAAGAAAGAACUGAGGUACUUUGAGAGCUCCCUGAGACAUGUGUGGCAUCUGUCUCAAGGAAGGAAAGCAAAAAGAGCUGGUUUGGUUUUCCUAUAACAACAUAAUUUUGCCUUCCAAGAGUAGAUAUUUUUUCUCUGAUGGCACAAUUAUUGAAGCAUGUUAUUGAAGCAUGUUGGGAAACAUUCUGAAACGUCACUAAGCCAGGACCAUAUUCAGAAACUCUCAAUUAACUUCAUGGCUGCUUGAGCCAGUCUGCUCCUGCCUAAGAUACACAGCCCCAAACCUGAGCACCUUCCUAUUUCAACACUAUUCAAUUUGUGCCUUUCCACUGACCACUUUUUAGCCAUCACUUAAUAUAAAAAAUACAACAGCUCCAGAAGAACAACCCACAGACCUGCUCUAAGCGCUGGAUUUGAGUAGGCAGAAGUGUCUGAAGGUUGGAGGAACUGAGUGUAGUGGGACGUGACAAUGCAGCUGGAGACAGAAAUGAUAUUUGAGAGAUACUGGAGGGAGUGAACACAACACAAAGAUCUGUGCAAAGGACACAACAGCUCAAACACAGAGACUUGGGAUCCAGACAGGAGAACUGAACAGGCUGUUGGGCAUCAUUCCCUGCCCUGAAUUCUGGGAGCAAGUGAAGAAGUGGGUAUUGUUUCUCACAAUACAACCACUGGAAAAAUCAGUAAAAUCACUGCAUUGUAAGAGACGAAACACUUCACACCAGAGGGGAGACAAUUAGCACUCCCAAGCUGAAUAGGUUUAAUUGCACAUGCGUUGUGCUGCUGCUUCAGGUCAAAACUGUGCCCAGAUUCAUCCUAGUACCAGCUCAGGAGCAGUGUCAUGCUUGGGUUUGAUUCAAAUACAAAAUAAUUAAGACAACUAUUGAUGGUUUUACACACAACAUAAUUCAUUAUAUAAUAAAUACAAGUAAGUUAAUCAGCAUUAGGACCACUGGUCUCACAAUGAUCUUUAAGACCCACUAAGCCACCCAGCUCCUGUGCUGAUCAGACACUUCAUCACCUGCCAGCAUUGGUGCCAGUUUCUGUUGAACAGUCAGUGCCACCACCUUGCAGGGAUAACUUCCCAUUUUAUGCUCUCUGCUUUGUUGAAAUCCCUCUCAAUGGCUGACUUUUCAGACCUAGUUUUGGAUUAAAAGGUGCAAUUCAUUUUUCUCUCUCUGGUUCCAAUAUAUUUCCCUCUGAACAGUAACAACCAGUCUAUAAGAAAGUUUUUAAUUGCCAAAUGCCUGGAGAGAGAGGGUAAAAUGUGGCAGGAACAGAGGAGGAGAAGAUGCUCAAAGUUGCUGUGCUUGGCACUAGUUACUUUCUUUGCCCAUGUCUCCUGCAGCACAGGGGAGGUAAUAAACAUGCUCUAAAGCAAGGAAGAGUUUGAUAAGCAGUCCUGUCCCCUGCACACCCCCUGCUCCUGCUGAUCCUGCUAGCAGCAUUUGCCUCAGCUCUGGAAUGCCAGCCACUGAAAUGUGUUGUGAAGUCAUCCCUGCGCUGAACUCAGCAGGCAAUCUGUCACUGAAUUCAUUUCUGCCAAGAUUCCAAUCCAGGCUUGUACUUGGGAUCCUGAUAGACCCUCAAAUAAAUAUUAUUCAUUAGUCAUCA